GGGAGCCUCUGAUUGCUUUUGGACGACUUCUUGUUAUUAGCGCUCCGAUAGAAUGAAGAUGUGGGCGCUAAUCACAACGUUAACUCAAAUAAGGACAUCCCCUCUUUCCCAUUCCUUCUCAGGCUUAGGAAUGGACGGGAUGAGAAGAGAAGCAUACCGGACUUCCUGAGAAAGAGCUUUCCUGCACGCGGGAACCUUCCUUCUGUCUUGCAGCCUCGAUGCUCAGUUCUAUUCUCCCACUCUUGCAAGGCUAGCCGGGAUAGAGGUCUGUUUUCGGGUUUGGUUUGCCUAGAUAGGAAGUGCGCUUGCAGUGCUUCUAAUAACGAUUUUGAAGUGCAAUAUCUUGGGGUAUGAUUGCUUCUUUCUUCGGCUUAAUAGGGCUUGUGGUUCGUUAUCAGUACCUGUUUUAGAGCGAUAUAACCUCGUUGCCCGCCUCUCAAGGUGGUGCCUUUCACUCUGCUCUGUCAACACUUUAUCGCUAUGCCGGAAGGUAGGAUUUCAGGUCUUUUCCCAAGCUAUGAAUCUUCAUCAAUUUGCAAAACUUAUUGCCUUACCUACUGGAGGAAGAAAAAAAAAACUUAGCUGGUUUUUUUGUCGAAAAUCGGAAGAACCUGAGAAUAUUCAAGGACUCGUUACCCGGCUGGGUAAAAGCAACAGCACAGAGGCUCUGCAGCAACAGGAGCCACAAAGAUGAUUAUAGAAAGAUACCAGGAUUAUACUCAAACAAUAGCAGCGGUACUCUCCGAAGUCAGCCCUAAAAAGAAAGGUGCUACACUAAUUGUAGUAAGCAGAACGGGGCCUCGGCCCCAGAUGGUUUAAAGAGAGCGGAAGUCGUGCUCCACACCCGUGAAGCACUUCCUCCCCUUUAAGCUAGUUUCACUUCUAGAAUUAUCUAAUAAUACUUCCUACUUCGAGUUAAUGAGUUAACGAGUUUUUGAUAGAAAAACGAGGCUUCCAUAGGGAUACUGGUGGUGGACAGAGAGGAAGGCAGCCCUCCGUAGUAAAAUUCCUAAAGUACUCGCUGCAGUUCCUGAGAAAGAAGUCGUCUUGGUAUUGGAUCCGCUCUUCUGUUAGCAUGAACAUGAAUUAUCUUCUAUUUGUCUUCUUUCUUUUCCGUACGCUAGGGCCGCUCGCACGCUUUAAGGGCGGUUGAAGGUAUUGCACUAAGAAAGACUACUGCCGUUGCUAAAGGUAAGAUUUGAAAGCGGCUCAAACAAUUUCUUUCAAAAUAAGAGCAAGCAAGAUAAGGCUUUUCAACUGUAUCGCGCGGGGGCGCUCAAGCGCCCUAUCUUACAAAGAAAAAGAAAGGGGCUCGAAAGCUGCGAAGAAAGUCGAGCUGCUCUAAUCGAGCAGUGAAAUCGGUCUGGUGAGGUAUUGGAAGUGUUCAGCGAAUAUAGAGAAAGAGACUAAACAAACCGCGCUAUACUGGCAGAGCUUCAGCAAAAGGAGGAAUCUGUCAAUCGGAGGAGCACAACCAAGUUUAAAACCUCAAAGCCCCGCAAGGGAUGUGAAGCCUUUCUCAAUGUCUUCCACUCGCCCAGUGGAUCUAGGAGGCAGGGGGAAUCCGUUAAUUGAAUCCAAUCCCAUCCAGCAUAGGCGGGUAGAGUUCACUCAUCCGGUAGCGAGGGGAAGAUGAACAAUGAAGCUAUAGCUGCUCACCUUUCCGCUAUCUGCCUUUAACUGAUUAGGGGGCUUAACAGCCCACCAACCAAUCUUUCUAUUUAUUUUUCAUUCUUGAUCUUUGGUGCCAGUGGAGCAAAGGAAGCGGGGGACGAACUCCUCUAUCUACCCUAGAAAUGGAUUAGAUCUAUUGAAUGAGAUCCUGGAGAAAUGAUUGAAGUUUUUCUAUUUUGAAUCGUCUUAGGUUGUCUUUCUAUUACUUUUGCUGGAUUAUUCGUAACUGCAUAUUUACAAUACAAACGUGGUGAUCAGUUGGAUCUUUGAUUAA